rnacentral:miRNA from 1 species
AAGCUAGCCUCUAACUCAUGGC